UACGUAGGGGGGCAAGCGUUGUCCGGAAUCAUUGGGCGUAAAGAGCGUGUAGGCGGUCCGGUAAGUCGGCUGUGAAAGUCCAGGGCUCAACCCUGGGAUGCCGGUCGAUACUGCCGGACUAGAGUUCGGAAGAGGCGAGUGGAAUUCCCGGUGUAGCGGUGAAAUGCGUAGAGAUCGGCAGGAACACCCAGGGGGGAAACCAGCCGACUGGGCAUCUACUGACGCUGAGGUGCGAGAGCGUGGGGAGCGAACCGG
rnacentral:rRNA from 1 species